rnacentral:rRNA from 1 species
CAAGGCUGAGGCGUGAUGACGAGGCACUACGGUGCUGAAGCAACAAAUGCCCUGCUUCCAGGAAAAGCCUCUAAGCAUCAGGUAACAUCAAAUCGUACCCCAAACCGACACAGGUGGUCAGGUAGAGAAUACCAAGGCGCUUGAGAGAACUCGGGUGAAGGAACUAGGCAAAAUGGUGCCGUAACUUCGGGAGAAGGCACGCUGAUAUGUAGGUGAAGCGACUUGCUCGUGGAGCUGAAAUCAGUCGAAGAUACCAGCUGGCUGCAACUGUUUAUUAAAAACACAGCACUGUGCAAACACGAAAGUGGACGUAUACGGUGUGACGCCUGCCCGGUGCCGGAAGGUUAAUUGAUGGGGUUAGCGCAAGCGAAGCUCUUGAUCGAAGCCCCGGUAAACGGCG